UAAACUGACCAAUAGAGGCUUUAUCUUGGCUGGGUAACAGAUUUCCAUAGAAACUCAACACAAUUGGUUGUCCUCAAGGCUGUUGUCCUCAAAACUGCCUCCUGUUCGUCUGCAGUUUUUUAUUUUGUUUUUUUUUACCAGGUAUCUGCAGAGAUGAAUGAAUAGUUUUAUGGAAUCCUCCACAGCCAUUCUCAAAACACUCAAGUAAUGAUAGAAAACAAAACAGGUGAAUCUUUGCAGAGAUGAAAUCUUUAUUCUAUCCUCUCCUGUUGUGCCGAGGUCGGUUUUGUUUGUCUUGUUGGUAACAUCAGAGGUGAAUCUGUGAAGUUUGAUCUUUGUGACCACAUUUUAAAUUCUGCAGAGGAGUUUGUUGGUUUUGUAGUUGCACAACUCAGUAAUCCAAACAUGCUCAGAAGUCACAAGCAAAAACCAGAGGUAGAGUGUUGGCUCAGUUUACAGUGGAGUCUUCUUCCUUACAGUGUGUUUUAGUUUGGACAGGAGCUUCAGGAAACAUGCAGAAGUUUUUUCAGCUCCGUGUGGCUCUGCUGCUGGUUCUGUGGAUCUCCUUAAUUGUGCCACCGUGUCACUCUUCAGAUUCAGGUGGUUCCAAUGACUGCUGCUUUGAAUUCAUCAGAUUCCCAGUGAACCAAAAUCGCAUCUCUUCAUAUUACAUGACUGAUAGUCGCUGCUAUUUCACAGCUGUUGUCUUAAUAACAAAAAGAGGACGUAACAUCUGUGUUGACCCAAGUCAGUCCUGGGUGAAGAAUGUUAUGAAAUAUCUGGACAGAACCUCCUUUUAAAGUUGUUGCCAUUUGUCCUGAUUUAAAAUCCAAUAAAACACAUCUGGCAAAGUGAUCAUGUUUUUAGUAUCAGAAUUGUUCUGUUUCCAAUAAUCAAAGAUUUUGCUUUUAAAUGUAAUCACUGUUGAUGUUUUUAAUCAUUUCUUUGGAAGUUUUGUUCAUGAACUAUCAGUGACUGGAACCAUUCAGAUUUCUGUUGAAUUCAUUUUUACUUCUCUGAUUCUGUUUUUAUCAUUUUCUCUAAUCAAACACAAAAUCAACAAAAAUGUUGCUGGAUGUUUUCCUUUGCUUGCUUUUGUUCAAAAAUAAACCCGACUCUUAUCAAAAGGUU